GAUGAACGCUAGCGGCAGGCCUAAUACAUGCAAGUCGAGGGGCAGCACGGUAGCAAUACUGGUGGCGACCGGCGCACGGGUGCGUAACACGUAUGCAACCUGCCUUCAACUGGGAGAUAGCCCGGGGAAACUCGGAUUAAUACCCAUAACAUAAUUGGACAGCAUUGUUUGAUUAUUAAAGUUCCGACGGUUGAAGAUGGGCAUGCGUUCGAUUAGCUAGUUGGUGUAGGUAACGGCUCACCAUGGCAACGAUCGAUAGGGGGUCUGAGAGGAUGAUCCCCCACACUGGUACUGAGAUACGGACCAGACUCCUACGGGAGGCAGCAGUAGGGAAUAUUGGUCAAUGGACGCAAGUCUGAACCAGCCAUGCCGCGGGCAGGAAGACGGCCCUCUGGGUUGUAAACUGCUUUUGAUAGGGAACAAAUGCCACUUGCGAGUGGAGCUGAGUGUACCUAUAGAAUAAGCACCGGCUAACUCCGUGCCAGCAGCCGCCGUAA
rnacentral:rRNA from 1 species